rnacentral:rRNA from 1 species
CCUACGGGGUGCAGCAGUGGGGGAUAUUGCGCAAUGGGGGCAACCCUGACGCAGCAACGCCGCGUGAUUGAAGAAGGCCUUCGGGUCGUAAAGAUCUUUAAUCGGGGACGAAUUUUGACGGUACCCGAAAAGUAAGCUCCGGCUAACAACGUGCCAGCAGCCGCGGUAAUACGUAGGGGGAAAGCGUUACCCGGAUUUACGGGGUGUAAAGGGCGGGUAGGCGGGCAUGCAAGCCAGAAGUGAAAUCUGGGGGCUUAACCCCGAAACUGCUUUUGGAACUGCGUGUCUUGAGUGAAGGAGAGGCAGGCGGAAUUCCCAGUGUAGCGGUGAAAUGCGUAGAUAUUGGGAGGAACACCAGUGGCGAAGGCGGCCUGCUGGACAUUAACUGACGUUGAGGCGCGAAAGCGUGGGGAGCAAACAGGAUUAGAUACCCUAGUAGUC